CUGGUGUAUGUAGGUGGAGUGGAAAGAUAAAGAAAUCAAGAUUUUUUUGGUGAAAAUAGAUCAACAAGAAGAAGAUGAAACGCAUGUCCAUGACCUAAAGCCCUUUCUGAACCAAGACUGGUCUUAAACCAGGAAAGUUCCUGUGGAAUUGAUCCUGGGAGAUGAAGAUCUAUGAUAGAUGUGCUAACGACUUUGUUUGCAGUCAGCUUCUCAUCCUUUCUUGAGUAGAUGAGACCUGGCUGUAGAAACGAUAACAUACCCUACGCUGACUGGUGAGCUGGAAGGAAAAGGAAGCAGAAGACUAAGGAAUUGUUUUGAUGAUCCAUUUGCGUAUGGGUACCCAUUGUGAUAAUCCACACCUGGAGUAAGGAGGAAGAGGGUUAUUUCUUCUACCAGGUUAACCUGGCAUUCAGGCUGAAGCAUGUGAACCUGGCACGUGCUGUGAGCAUCACUUUCUGAUAGGUAAUACAGCCAAACAGACCCGGCUCUAAAGCAAAACCCUCAUGCACCUGCAAAUGAAGGCAUGUCUGGUGAAUCCUAGGAACUGAGACGUGUUUCUUGCUAAGCCAUAAGAGUUCGUGUUGCUCCUUGAGGGGAGGGAACUGAGCCUUAAACAAAGGAAGUAGUAGUAAUACAUCAAAACAAAUGGUACAGACUAGCAGGGAGUGAGAUACUGUGAACAGAGGGAAUAAGACACAGCCUUGUUCCUUCAAACUCCCACCAAUGCCAGAAAGAAGACGAGGCAGUAGAAAAAGAGGUGCAUGCAAGCAUGGGUGUGAGGGAGAGAGACAGUGUGUGUGAGACACUGUGAAGGAGCAGGAUCCUAUACAAUGUGUGAGAGACAUAUAUCCUAUAUCUUUUGUGUUUGUGUUAGAGGUGUGUGCUUGAGAGACAGACUGUGUGAGAGAGCUCAAGACAGCUACAGCAUGCAUGUGAGAAGGAGCAUGAGAGGCAGACAGAAGGAGGGAGGUGAGCUGAAGUGCUGCUUUCAGAAGCCUCCUCUGCACGGCCAAAUGGCCAGCACAGCACAGCCAGGUCCUGCAG